rnacentral:lncRNA from 1 species
AUGGUCGCCCAUCUUGGAACCUCACUUGCCCGCUGCCCAGACCUGGCAAAGUCAGUUUCAUCUACUGAGUCUAGAAGGAUCCCUUGGGCUGAGCUCACCAAGCAAGGACAGGCACUGGGCUUUGGAGUUAACCCUUCUGCAGCCCCUUCGGUCCUGGUUGUCCAGUGGAGGAGACACCAGGCAGCAGAUGGUUUAACCAAUCAGGUGGGGCACAGCUGUAAAGACAGAGAGACCUGGUGGAAGCGAGGAGCGGAAAUAGAAUGCACCUGUGACCUUGUUUCUUCUUCUGGGACACGUAUUUUAGGAAGGGCAUUGACAAAUUGAUGCAUUAAACGAGAUCCAGGGCCAGGUGCGGUGGCUCACACCUGUAAUCCUAGUACUUUGGGAGGCCGAUGCAGGUGGACUGCCUGAGGUCAGGAGUUAGAGACCACCUUGGGCAACAUAGUGAAACCCUGUCUCUCCUAAAAAAAAAAAAAAAGAAAGAAAGAAAGAAAAAAAUCUAGCCAGAUGUGGUGGUGCGUGCCUAUAAUCCUAGCUACUUGUGAGGCUGAGGCAGGAGAAUCUCUUGAACCCGGGAGACGCAGAUUGCAGUGAGUCGAGAUUGUACCACUGUACUCCAGCCUGGGUGACAGAGUGAGACUCCGUUUCAAAAAAAAAAAAAAAAAGAUCCAGUGAUAAGUCUAAUAACUACCCUAUUUUGAAGUAAAGGCAGCCAUAUUUAUUGAUGAACUGGUCACAGGUGCUGCUAAACUUCCUCUGGAAUGUUCUGUACCUCCAUCAUGGGAAGAAGCGCUGCAUUAGGUGACGGGCUGGUUGGAAUAAAGGAGCAAGUUUCCCCCGUUCUAUUUCAUGGGCUCCCUUCUCCUCCGGCUUCUCCCUUCUCCAUAGAUCUCUUGGGAAUCUGUGGACUCAGCUCAAGAAAUCCUGUAUUGGCUGGGAGUGGUGGCUCAUGCCUGUAAUUCCAACACUUAAAAAAAGUUUUUUCAAGCCAGGCAUGGUGGUUCAUGCCUGUAAUCCCAGCAAUUUCGGAGGCUGAGGUGGGCAGAUCACAAGAUCAGGAGUUCAAGACCAGCCUGGCCAACAUGGUGAAACCCUGUCUCUAUUAAAAUAGAAAAAUUAGCCAGGUGUGGUGGCUCACACCUGUAAUCCCAGCACUUUGGGAGGCU